CUACGCCGCAAGCCCCAGACAUAGACCCAGCCCUCUCUCGCUCUCAGGAAAUCCACUUCUCUCUCUCUCCUUCCACCAGCACUGAAGGGGAUGGCUGGAUCCGACAAAGGGGCGCACGACCCCUACCCGCACCCUGCAUAGGGCGGCGCACGGCUUGGGGUGGAGGCUCUUUGGCAGUGGAGAUGAAGCAGCCCGCCGGCAGGUUGUUGGCGUCCCGCGGUUCUGGGAGGAACGGAGGAAGCAGCCUCCUCCAUGCUUGACACAUCGUGUUGCUCCAAUCCUUGGGUUUGGCCUUCUUGAAUCUCGAUCCAUGGCCUCUCGACAAAGGUGUAUGGAUCUACGGUGGCUAGAGCAUUGGCUGCUGGAUCUUUGUCGCGAGGAGGUCAUGCGUUUCGACCUUAACUGACACCGGCCUAGCCGCCUAGGCGACGUGGUGGCCGUGCUCCCUGCCCGACGGGUUCCUAUCCAGGUUGGAGAGUAGUCCAGGUUGUUGCUGCAUCCUGCAGGGCGGUCCUGCCCAGUUACGGCCAUCAGGAGCUGGACUCCUGUGUUUGACGGAGCCGCCUGCUAUUGAAGCUCCGCACACCAACGAGGUUCUGCUCGAAAAGGUUAGAAACUUAUUUUGUUUUACACCAGUGCAAACGCUAUUCUUCACUUACAAAUGCUAUCCUUAAGUCUGAACCUUGUUAUUUUUAGGGUCUGAAAUUAUUUCUUCUGAAUUAGCAGCAGCUCAGUGAUGUUUCAGUUCUGAAUUUCUUUUGAAUCUGCAUACUUUAAUUGCAAUAGCAAAGCAGUACCCUGUUCAGAUCAACAAUUUCAGUUUCUCUCUGCAUAUUGUGCGGAUGUACUGAUAAUUGUAGGAAGGGUUUUAACAAAAAGUAGAUAUAGUGGAAUCCUUAGAUUAUACAUUGCUAAAUUAACGUGUACAGUUCUAGUUUGUUCAGUCUGGCACAAUUCUUUUUUAUUUGGCCUCAGUCGGGUCUAAUUAUAUUUCUUUAAUGCCUUAAUGUUGUACUAUACUAUUUCAGUUUCAAAAAGCCUCCGCUUGGGUUAGCAUUUUCGAAGGAUGUAUAACAGUGCAUAUUUUUUGCUUACUGAUUUUUUUGGUGGUUCAGGUGAAAACACUUCGGCAGUCCAUCGUGACAUCAAAUCUCCCAACAUGAAAAAUAAAGGAUACCUAGGAUAUCUCUAUCCGGCAGUCCACCAUGACAUCAAAUCUUCCAUCAUGAAAAAUAAAGGAUACCUAGGAUAUCUCUAUUUGUCAUUGAGAAUCAGUCACUGGAAUCUCUAUUUGUUGUUAGCUUGUGCCAUGGUAAACUGUAAGGUUGUAUGGACUUUAUAUGUUAACUCAUGUUGGAUGAAAGCUUAUGUAAUAUGAUGUUGGAUGAAAAUUCAUGUGAUAUGAUAUUUGAUGGAAAAAUAAUAUUUUAAUUUGAUAUGCUGCCACAA
rnacentral:lncRNA from 1 species